CGGGGUGCAGCAGGCGCGAAAACUUUACAAUGCUGGCAACAGCGAUAAGGGGACCUUGAGUGCCAGGAUACAAUCCUGGCUGUCGUGAUGCCUAAAAAGCAUUAUAUAGCAAGGGCCGGGCAAGACCGGUGCCAGCCGCCGCGGUAACACCGGCGGCUCGAGUGGUAACCGCUAUUAUUGGGUCUAAAGGGUCUGUAGCCGGCUUGGUUAGUCUCUUGGGAAAUCCGGCAGCUUAACUGUCGGGCUUUCAGGAGAUACUGCCAGGCUCGAGACCGGGAGAGGUGAGAGGUACUUCAUGGGUAGGGGUGAAAUCUUGUAAUCCUUGAAGGACCACCAGUGGCGAAGGCGUCUCACCAGAACGGAUCUGACGGCAAGGGACGAAAGCUAGGGGCACGAACCGGAUUAGAUACCCGGGUAGUCCUAGCCGUAAACGAUACUCGCUAGGUGUCGGCCACGGUGCGACCGUGGUCGGUGCCGUAGGGAAGCCGUGAAGCGAGCCACCUGGGAAGUACGGCCGCAAGGCUGAAACUUAAAGGAAUUGGC
rnacentral:rRNA from 1 species